GGUUUUCUGCCUAACGAAACCACACCACACCAUGGGUAUCUCUGUUCAACUGGGCCUUUUAAAGGCUUAAAAACCCAACUAACAUCAGAAAUAGAAUCUCACAACACCCCAAAAAACCUCCCAGAAUUGUCGGAUCGUGACCGGCAGCUCCCCAAGUUGUCCGAUCGUGAUGUGGUCCACGAGAAGGCAUGUAGACCGUGAGAAACAUCAAGGAAACGACGUUC
rnacentral:lncRNA from 1 species